rnacentral:rRNA from 1 species
AUUGAACGCUGGCGGCAGGCCUAACACAUGCAAGUCGAACGAGUGGCGGACGGGUGAGUAAUGUCUGGGAAACUGCCCGAUGGAGGGGGAUAACUACUGGAAACGGUAGCUAAUACCGCAUACCAUCGGAUGUGCCCAGAUGGGAUUAGCUAGUAGGUGGGGUAACGGCUCACCUAGGCGACGAUCCCUAGCUGGGCUGAUAGGAGGACCAGCAACACGGGAACGGAGACACGGUCCAGACUCCGAAGGGGGGCAGUAGUGGGGAAUAUUGCACAAUGGGCGCAAGCCUGAUGCAGCCAUGCCGGGUGUAUGAAGAAGGCCUUCGGGUUGUAAAGCACUUUCAGCGGAGAGGCGUUACCCGCAGAAGAAGCACCGGCUAACUCCGUGCCAGCAGCCGCGGUAAUAC